rnacentral:rRNA from 1 species
UGUGAACUCGAAGAGUAGGGCGGGACACGUGGUAUCCUGUCUGAAUAUGGGGGGACCAUCCUCCAAGGCUAAAUACUCCUGACUGACCGAUAGUGAACCAGUACCGUGAGGGAAAGGCGAAAAGAACCCCGGCGAGGGGAGUGAAAAAGAACCUGAAACCGUGUACGUACAAGCAGUGGGAGCCUCUUUAUGGGGUGACUGCGUACCUUUUGUAUAAUGGGUCAGCGACUUAUAUUCUGUAGCAAGGUUAACCGUAUAGGGGAGCCGAAGGGAAACCGAGUCUUAACUGGGCGUUAAGUUGCAGGGUAUAGACCCGAAACCCGGUGAUCUAGCCAUGGGCAGGUUGAAGGUUGGGUAACACUAACUGGAGGACCGAACCGACUAAUGUUGAAAAAUUAGCGGAUGACCUGUGGCUGGGGGUGAAAGGCCAAUCAAACCGGGAGAUAGCUGGUUCUCCCCGAAAGCUAUUUAGGUAGCGCCUCGUGAACUCAUCUUCGGGGGUAGAGCACUGUUUCGGCUAGGGGGCCAUCCCGGCUUACCAACCCGAUGCAAACUACGAAUACCGAAGAAUGUUAUCACGGGAGACACACGGCGGGUGCUAACGUCCGUCGUGAAGAGGGAAACAACCCAGACCGCCAGCUAAGGUCCCAAAGUCAUGGUUAAGUGGGAAACGAUGUGGGAAGGCACAGACAGCCAGGAUGUUGGCUUAGAAGCAGCCAUCAUUUAAAGAAAGCGUAAUAGCUCACUGGUCGAGUCGGCCUGCGCGGAAGAUGUAACGGGGCUAAACCAUGCACCGAAGCUGCGGCAGCGACGCUUAUGCGUUGUUGGGUAGGGGAGCGUUCUGUAAGCCGUCGAAGGUGUGCUGUGAGGCAUGCUGGAGGUAUCAGAAGUGCGAAUGCUGACAUAAGUAACGAUAAAGCGGGUGAAAAGCCCGCUCGCCGGAAGACCAAGGGUUCCUGUCCAACGUUAAUCGGGGCAGGGUGAGUCGACCCCUAAGGCGAGGCCGAAAGGCGUAGUCGAUGGGAAACAGGUUAAUAUUCCUGUACUUGGUGUUACUGCGAAGGGGGGACGGAGAAGGCUAUGUCAGCCGGGCGACGGUUGUCCCGGUUUAAGCAUGUAGGCGGAGGUUCCAGGUAAAUCCGGUACCUUGUUAACGCUGAGGUGUGAUGACGAGGCACUACGGUGCUGAAGUGAUAAAUGCCCUGCUUCCAGGAAAAGCCUCUAAGCAUCAGGUAACACGAAAUCGUACCCCAAACCGACACAGGUGGUCAGGUAGAGAAUACCAAGGCGCUUGAGAGAACUCGGGUGAAGGAACUAGGCAAAAUGGUGCCGUAACUUCGGGAGAAGGCACGCUGAU